CUAUUUUUGGUGACGCAUGACUUCACGGAUCAUUGGCGUCUUCUUCGACAACAUGUGAUAUCUUUCACUAUCGUUCAUCAUGUCCACAUGAAGUAUAUGUUCAAUACACAGCGUUCAAAAAGAUGAAAGUGUGUGAGAUCAGAGAGAGAGAGAUUUGUUGAAGGAAAGGGUGAGAAAGAUGCUAU